CGGGUGAGUAACGCGUGGAUAACCUGCCUCACACUGGGGGAUAACAGUUAGAAAUGGCUGCUAAUACCGCAUAAGCGCACAGUACCGCAUGGUACGGUGUGAAAAACCCAGGUGGUGUGAGAUGGAUCCGCGUCUGAUUAGCCAGUUGGCGGGGUAACGGCCCACCAAAGCGACGAUCAGUAGCCGACCUGAGAGGGUGACUGGCCACAUUGGGACUGAGACACGGCCCAA
rnacentral:rRNA from 1 species